rnacentral:lncRNA from 1 species
UUCACUUUCAUUUAUUGUCCCUUACUGAGAAUAAACUAUUCUGUGUCCCUCCUCCCCGGUUUUAAAGACAUGGUUAUAAAUUUAUAAUUCUUUCUAGAACAGAAGACACUAUUUGCAGCAAUGGAUCGAUUUUAGUUUUCUUCCCCAAUUCAUUCUUGACUAUUAUUUUUGUAAAAUAAAAGAAUGAAUCACUGGGUACAAAAUAUUAAAAGGGCAUAAAAAGCACAAAAUCAAGCAAGCAGAGACAAAGGGAUACAAAGUGUGCCCAUAAUUUUUAUAUGGGAGUGAGCAUGAGGUCACUUCCGAACUGCUAUGCAAUGUCCUGAGAGCUCAGCCUCAAAGUCUUUUCCUCUCCAGCAGAAGAAAAACAAAGCUACAGAGAUCAGUCCUGUCCAUGGAUCACAACAGACGAUGACUCUCUCAAGAGGAAAACUUCUUUAAAGAAAAAUGAGAAAGAAUGAAGCUUAGUGCCAGUAGUAUAUGGCUCAGAACAAGGUAGGCACAUUAUUUAUUUAUAUACUUGCUUUUUAGUUUUAGUAGCACUAAGCCUUAUUUUAUGCCUUUCUGAAGUAGAUUUAAUAAUAGGAUUUAUUUAGCAAGAUUGUCCUAAAGGUCAAAUGAAUGAUUUAUACAGGUCAAGCAAUUGGUCCAUAGUAUAUGCUUAGAAAAU